UCACAAGGUUCCAAGAUAUUCCUGCCACUCCAUUAACAAAAAGCUCGUGUAGUUUUCUCAGCGGAUGCGACGAAAUAUCAGGGCUGAAAUUCGUCGAUCGCCUUGUCGGAUGUAAUGCAUGUACCUUCCUCAGAUCGUACCGGUCCGUACACAGACAGCGACACGCAUCACCGUUCAGUAGUGGUGGGAAGAUCAUAUCAAAAGCAUGAAACUAUCGAAUCUUCAACGCUCUGCCUAUAUAUAUUUUUUUUUGUAUUUUUCUAUAUAAGCGAAUGCAUGUGACCAUGCGGUGGCGGGAAGCCAGAAGGCACGAAAGCUACGUGCAUGUACGGUACGGUGCUAAAUUUGGAGAGUACUAGCGCUGUUGCUUGGUCAUGAAUUGUUUUUUUUUGUUUUUUAUUUAGGGCGUAUUUAAUUCCUAAUAGAAUAAAAAAAUACUUUAGAAUAAUGAAAUACAAAAUAUCAAAAAAAAAUGACGGAAGGCCAUAGCCCCUAGAGGAGAUGUAACACCCAAAAAUCUGUUUUAAAUAAAUAGAAUUUGAUUUGAUUUAUUUAAGUAUUUUUGUGAGCAUUUAAUUUAGUGAAUAAAUAAUUUUGAGGAAAAUAAAAUUUAUCGUAGUAACCUUGAUGGUGUAUUCAUGCUGUAGCAUAUUUUAUGUUUUGCUUGAUUGUUCUUGGGUAGAAAUAAUUUGUGCACAAAAUUCUAUUUAGAAAAUGUUUUGAAAAAGAAAAUAAAAGGAAAAGGUUGGAGGGGGAAAGCCCCUGGAACCUGGGCAAGGCCUAUCCUUCCACCCGCAGCCAGCCAACCCCCGCGGCCCAGCUCGUUUUCAGCCCACCAGAAGGCCCGCGCGCGCUCUCCUCUCCCCUCCCUCCUUUCUACGACUGCCCCGCGGGCCCACCUGUCAGCGCGUGCUGUUCCUCUUCUUCGCCGUGACGGAGCCGGUUUCCUCCACCGAAUCCUCCUCUAUCCCGAUUUGUGCGGGAUUUGUCUUCCUUGACCUCCUAUAAAGCAUCUAGGUCAACCCCGCGUGGCUAUUUUUCCAUCUACGCCGCAAAAACCAAGCCGUAGUCGCUUCCUUUCGCGUUUUGGAUCCGCCGUUUUGCGAAGCGAGCCGCUGCCGCUGCGAGCUCCGUUCGCGUGUUCUCGGCUCGAGCUAAGGGCGCAGGAGAGCUCGUUGCUCUCCCCUCGUUCUGCUGAUAUGUUUCUUUUGCUUCGGGGUGCGCCAGGGUGCAAGGACGAGGCGUCUCCGGUGAGCUCAUGGCGGCGGGCAUGGUGGCUGGCCGCACCGGAGCCCAGGGAGGAGAUCAGCCGGCC
rnacentral:lncRNA from 1 species